ACGGAAGGCAGCAGUGGGGAAUAUUGGGCAAUGGGGGGAACCCUGACCCAGCAACGCCGCGUGAAGGAAGAAGGCUUUCGGGUUGUAAACUUCUUUUACCAGGGACGAAGAAAGUGACGGUACCUGGAGAAAAAGCCACGGCUAACUACGUGCCAGCAGCCGCGGUAAUACGUAGGGAGCGAGCGUUGUCCGGAAUUACUGGGUGUAAAGGGAGCGUAGGCGGGACCGCAAGUCAGAUGUGAAAUGCCGGGGCUUAACCCCGGAGCUGCAUUUGAAACUGUGGUUCUUGAGUGAAGUAGAGGCAAGCGGAAUUCCUGGUGUAGCGGUGAAAUGCGUAGAUAUCAGGAGGAACACCGGUGGCGAAGGCGGCUUGCUGGGCUUUUACUGACGCUGAGGCUCGAAAGCGUGGGUAGCAAACAGGAUUAGAUACCCUGGUA
rnacentral:rRNA from 1 species